GUGGCAGCCACCCAACAGAGGGGCAGACAGGCCCAGGCUGAGAAAAGGGCCUGGGGCUGCUUGGGGAUGUCAGAAGGGAUUCGAGUGAAUCAGGCAUUCCAAGAAUCCUCGGCCUCAAAGUUCUGAGGCUGCGUGAUGUCAUGGGAAGAGCAUGCGGCUGCCCUGGGGAGCUGUCAGCCCCACGUGAACCUGGAGGAACAGUUCCAGGGGAAGGCCCUCGCCCUUCCGCUUGGUCCAGCCAAGCCCCGUAGGCUCCUAGGUCCAGCCUGUGGACCCUCACUGCAGCCUGCUGGUGAGUCUGGGGAUCCCACAAGCUAUACAAGAGUCUGAAGUGGGGACUCUGGAGCCAGAACCCUAGAGUUCAAAACCUGACACUGCACUUCUAGCUCUGCAACUUUCAAUAAAUUCCUUAACCUCUCUG
rnacentral:lncRNA from 1 species